UACGUAGGGCGCAAGCGUUAUCCGGAAUUAUUGGGCGUAAAGAGCUCGUAGGCGGUUUGUCGCGUCUGCCGUGAAAGUCCAGGGCUCAACCCUGGAACGCCGGUGGAUACUGUCGGGCUAGAGUCCGGAAGAGGCGAGUGGAAUUCCUGGUGUAGCGGUGGAAUGCGCAGAUAUCAGGAGGAACACCGAUGGCGAAGGCAGCUCGCUGGGACGGUACUGACGCUGAGGCGCGAAAGCGUGGGGAGCGAACAGG
rnacentral:rRNA from 1 species